UGCGAUUGUGUCGUGCCCGCUCCUUCAUCGAUCGACAAUGCUAAGAGCACCCUUGUCUUUGUAAUGACAACUCAUGUAAAAAACAUCCAUAGCUUGUCCCACUCUGCUUUGCCGUGCCAGUGUGGUCUCUGGUUCUUGUUUGUACUCCAGGAAAAAAAGCUUCAUUUUUUCUUUUCUUUUCAACAAGAAAAGUUUGGUUGCUAACAGUAUAAUAAUGGGAUGUUGCUAAAAUGCACCAUCUCUGCUUUGGAUGCUUCUCUUGCUCUCGGGUUUCGAGCUUGACCCCUCCAUCUUCCUCUCUUUAAUGCCUUUGUAAAAGCAUAGAUAUUACAGGUAUGCACUUGGAAACGAGUUGAGAGAGUUACGUUGUUUUUGUUGUUUUCGUUGUUUUCCUCUCUCGAAUCAUUUUGGGGUUUUUUAUACGUAGAUGAUAAUCAUUCCUAUGUUGAUGUUUUCGAAACCAAGUGUGGAAUAAUGGGUAGUCGUUCCUUUUCCUAAUAAGAAAAGAAAAGAAAAGAAAUAAAGGAAAGACGGUACUGGUUCAAGUAGUUGUUUUAUUUAAUAUUUGCAGCUCUAAGAAAAUAAAAUGGAAGAACAUUGGGCUUCCCCCCUGUCUGUCUGCCUGUCUCUGCCAGUUUCCCUGUCAGUGACGUUUUCUUUCUUAUCUUGUUAUUUUUAAAAAAAAUCUUUUUUUAUCGUUUUUCAUUUUUAGAGCUCAAGGCAUCUCGUGGAGAUUCUUCUUAGUUGAGAUCCAUUUGGAUUUUAUUUUUUUUCAAAGACGAUCAAUUUUUUUUUUGGGUUCUUGGGUUGCAGCCUUGUUUGUUUCUGAGCUAUGGAGAGUUUGAAGAUGGGUACUCUUUUAAUAAGCUUUUCCUUUCUUGAUGAGGCCUGAAAAUCAGGAAGGAUAGCAGAGUCAUGAUUUGGGGGUGAAAGCCGUGUUCUUUGGGUUAAUCAGCGAUUUUAUCUGCAAGCAGCUUUUUGCAUAUGUAUGUAUUGGCAUUAUCUGAAAUUGGCUAUUGUUGUGUAUUGCUAAUCUCUCCUUUCUUGAGCUUUUAAAGAAAUUGCAAGGAGUAUAGCUAGUAGGCUACGGACUGGAUAUCACUUUUUUAACAGCACUAAACUUGAGUAAUUUACUGAAAAAGCAUAUUCACUUGUAUAUUCUAUCUGCAAUCUUAGUAGUUUCAUAGUUGUGAGACUUUUAAAUCCAGUGUUCUUUCUUGAUGUGGUUUUAUUUCUUCUUUAAGUCUUUGAAGUCAAGGAAACAAUGCAUCAUGUACGAGAACUGCAAGUUUUAGGAUUGUCCUCUUCUGGAUGUAUGUGAUUAAUUGAGCUUAGGCUAUAAUUUUGCACCAGGGAGGAAUUUGGAUAGAUGCACUCUUUUUAAUAUUAUGUUAAUCUUUCUGACAUAGAAGUACGAGGAAUUGAAACUAUCUUGGAUUUGCUCGCUCUCUUAUGCCUUCAAGUUAAACUCAAUUCUUUUGACUGUGGAAGAAAUGGGUUGUGUAGCAUCAAAGAUUCAAAAGGAAGAGAGGGUGCAAAUUUGCAGGGAGAGAAAGAGGCUAAUGAAACAAUUGGUAGUUUUUCGAGGAGAAUUUGCAGAUGCCCAAUUGGCUUAUUUGAGAGCACUGAAGAAUACUGGUGUAACACUUAGGCAAUUCACUGAAUCAGAAUCUUUAGAGCUUGAAAAUACCUCUAAUGGCAAGGCAUUGCCUUCUUCCCCUCCUCUUCCUCUGCCUCCUUCCCCUCCACCUCCUCCUCCUUUUAGCCCUGAUUUAAGAGGGUCCAUUGAUAAUCAGAAAGAAGAAAUUGAUCAAGAAGAAGGUGUAAAAAUUGAUGAGGAUGAUUGCUAUACCCAAUCACAUCCAAUUUGUAGUUUCUCAUGGAAUCUUUUGGAAUCAGAAUCCAUUGAGCAGCCUUCCCCACAACAUUGGGAGAAAAACAAAAUAGUAGAACCAGCAGUAGAUGAGGAAAAUUGGGCAGAGGCUAAGGCAGAAUUUGAGGAAGAAGAUUGGGAAGAUGAGAAUGCUGGGAAUGUUCAUUCUAAUUUACUUCCCCAGAUGCAGCAGCGACAGCAGCCUGUUAAAUUGAUUGAUGAUGACUCAUCGAUGGUGAGCUGUUGUAGUAAAGAUACUGCAGACGUGGCUAUGGUAAAGUGGAGAAGCAAGAUGACCUUGGAGGGUAUUGUUAAGGAGUUAGAUGAUUAUUUCCUUAAAGCAUCAGCUGGUGGAAAGGAAAUAGCUGUUCUCAUGGACAUUUUCAAAGGACACACACUUCUAUCUCAGAAUUCCAAG
rnacentral:misc_RNA from 1 species